GCUCAGGACGAACGCUGGCGGCGUGCCUAAUACAUGCAAGUCGAGCGGACAGAUGGGAGCUUGCUCCCUGAUGUUAGCGGCGGACGGGUGAGUAACACGUGGGUAACCUGCCUGUAAGACUGGGAUAACUCCGGGAAACCGGGGCUAAUACCGGAUGGUUGUCUGGACCGCAUGGUUCAGACAUAAAAGGUGGCUUCGGCUACCACUUACAGAUGGACCCGCGGCGCAUUAGCUAGUUGGUGAGGUAACGGCUCACCAAGGCGACGAUGCGUAGCCGACCUGAGAGGGUGAUCGGCCACACUGGGACUGAGACACGGCCCAGACUCCUACGGGAGGCAGCAGUAGGGAAUCUUCCGCAAUGGACGAAAGUCUGACGGAGCAACGCCGCGUGAGUGAUGAAGGUUUUCGGAUCGUAAAGCUCUGUUGUUAGGGAAGAACAAGUGCCGUUCAAAUAGGGCGGCACCUUGACGGUACCUAACCAGAAAGCCACGGCUAACUACGUGCCAGCAGCCGCGGUAAUACGUAGGUGGCAAGCGUUGUCCGGAAUUAUUGGGCGUAAAGGGCUCGCAGGCGGUUUCUUAAGUCUGAUGUGAAAGCCCCCGGCUCAACCGGGGAGGGUCAUUGGAAACUGGGGAACUUGAGUGCAGAAGAGGAGAGUGGAAUUCCACGUGUAGCGGUGAAAUGCGUAGAGAUGUGGAGGAACACCAGUGGCGAAGGCGACUCUCUGGUCUGUAACUGACGCUGAGGAGCGAAAGCGUGGGGAGCGAACAGGAUUAGAUACCCUGGUAGUCCACGCCGUAAACGAUGAGUGCUAAGUGUUAGGGGGUUUCCGCCCCUUAGUGCUGCAGCUAACGCA
rnacentral:rRNA from 1 species